rnacentral:rRNA from 1 species
UACGGAGGGGGCUAGCGUUGUUCGGAAUUACUGGGCAUAAAGGGUGCGUAGGCGGCUUGUUAAGUCAGGGGUGAAAUCCCACGGCCCAACCGUGGAACUGCCUCUGAAACUGGCGAGCUUGAGUGCGUGAGGGGUAACCGGAACGAGUAGUGUAGCGGUGAAAUGCGUAGAUAUUACUCGGAAGGCCAAAGGCGAAGGCAGGUUACUGGUACGCAACUGACGCUGAGGCACGAAAGCGUGGGGAGCAAACAGG